rnacentral:rRNA from 1 species
GACGAACGCUGGCGGCGUGCUUAACACAUGCAAGUCGAACGGAAAGGCCCUGCGUUUGUGGGGUGCUCGAGUGGCGAACGGGUGAGUAACACGUGAGUAACCUGCCCUUGACUUUGGGGUAACUUCAGGAAACUGGGGCUAAUACCGGAGAGAAGCUCCUGCUGCAUGGUGGGGGUUGGAAAGUGUCGGCGGUUGGGGAUGGACUCGCGGCUUAUCAGCUUGUUGGGGGGGUAGUGGCUUACCAAGGCUUUGACGGGUAGCCGGCAUGAGAGGGUUACCGGCCACAUUGGGACUGCGAUACGGCCCAGAAUCCUACGGGAGGCAGCAGUGGGGAAUAUUGCAGAAUGGGCGGAAGCCUGAUGCAGCAACGCCGCGUGCGGGAUGACGGCCUUCGGGUUGUAAACCGCUUUCGCCUGUGCCGAAGCGUGAGUGACGGUAAUGGGUAAAGAAGCACCGGCUAACUACGUG